UACAGAGGGGGCAAGCGUUAUUCGGAAUUAUUGGGCGUAAAGGGCGCGUAGGCGGCCCUUCAAGUGGUAGGUGAAAUCCCUCGGCUCAACCGAGGAGCUGCCCGCCAAACUGAAGAGCUUGAGUCCGGGAGAGGUGAGUGGAAUUCCCAGUGUAGCGGUGAAAUGCGUAGAUACUGGGAGGAACACCGGUGGCGAAGGCGGCUGCCUGGACCGGUUCUGACGCUGAGGCGCGAAAGCGUGGGUAGCAAACAGG
rnacentral:rRNA from 1 species